CAUGGCAGCGCGCAGAGCAGCUGUAGAGCAGCGGCGUGUUCGUGUGGUGGACGUUUUUUUUUUCUGUUACACCGCAGCCGUCGCCGCUGCAUAGCGUAAUGGACGGUGCAGCAAAGUCCGGAGGUUACAGAAUUCAUUUGAAGAGCACACGAUGCUUACAUUUUGGCAGAAUAGCGAGCGGUAAGGCGGAUGCAACCGGGAUGCAGCGUUGAUCCAGGGGAAUCGAAAUUGUUUCGGCGUCGGCAUGUUUUCUUAAAGCAUUGCAGAGAUGAUCUGAAGUGUUUUAGCACGAAUGCUCAGCUUCAACAGCAGCAUCUUUCAACUGAGUGCUGGCAUUGAGUGCUUCACUUCAGAUGAAAAACUAAAGCCACAUCCCAGGGUCAGUGGCUUUCCCAGGAACGCCUAGGACGUAGGAAUGCAUACUUGUCAUCCUUCACGCUCACACAGCAUGGCUCCCAGAAAUGGAAAGUUCACAAAGCUGCUGAAGGGCCCUUUAAUGAAGAUUACAAACACUACAAUAUGGAAGAGGAAAGUAUCACUAUCAAAGCCAGCUGUUGCACAGCUACAGCACAGGUUUUGCUUGUCAAUCACUUGGUGGCUGAGUAAGCGCGGCAUUUCGCUGCUAAGCACACGUGCAGGGGUUCCAUUCCUGGCUAUGUUGGGCACAGUUGGACUGGGGGAACAAAAUUCUUGUAUUUCGAUACAGGUUUGCUUAUUCAAAAUUACAUGAGCUUUGCUCUUUUGCGUGCAUGCGCAGUCUCUACUGACUUGCUCAGCUUCUUUGACAUGUCUCUAGCAAAAAAAUGCAUUCGUAGCAUUGUGUAUGUCCUAAGCACGGUUGCUGUAAAGUUGUCCUUGUGUUCUGCACACCCGAGUUUUGGAAACUUUGUUAACUCUAGAGCAUCGAGAAGUUCCCAAAAAAUGUCACUGCACAGUUGAAAGCGGUUAAGUGCGCUUGAGACAGUGCUUUCUAUGCUUCUCAGUGACAGGAACAUCUUCUCUGUGGGGUGCUUCAGGCUCAUUUCUUUAAAUGACCUAGCAAAUGUUACCCAUGCUGCCGGCAUAUGUGGAGCGUCAGUUUGAAUGUCAGCUAAGCAGUUUAAACAGCCUUUUUUCUUUGAGAUUUUGUGCACAAUGUAGCCAGCAAGAUAAUAUACUACACAGUCUUCUGCAGUUGCCUUGCUGUAUGGGUGGUCCUUGCUUGUGCUGGGAAGCGCAGCCAUUGUGCUCGUGUCUUGCAGAUCAAAGCAGAGCUCUUCAAGCUUUUUCUCUAAGUGUGCGUGGAGCUUUUCUUUGUGGCACUCAUUGUCUUUGACACCAGCCUCGAGCACACCUGAAAGAACUGGCAAGAUAUCCUCCUGGGCUUCUACAUUGCCUUUGAUUGCUGCUUUCAUUGGGGCAUAGAUGGUCAAGAGCCGAAAGAUGUAGGAGAAGUUCACUAUGGUGGGGUGAUCUUCAUGUCCUCC